rnacentral:tRNA from 1 species
GCCGGAAUAGCUCAGUUGGUAGAGCAGGGGACUGAAAAUCCUCGUGUCACCAGUUC